rnacentral:rRNA from 1 species
GAUGAACGCUAGCGGCAGGCUUAACACAUGCAAGUCGAGGGGCAGCGCGGGAUAGCAAUAUCCUGGCGGCGACCGGCGGAAGGGUGCGUAACGCGUGAGCGACAUGCCCGUUGCCCGGGGACAACCGGUGGAAACGCCGACUAAUCCCCUAUGGGAUACGCUGCUUCAUGGCAUUGUAUUGAAAGUUACGGCGGCGACGGAUUGGCUCGCGUCCGAUUAGCUGGUUGUCGGGGUAACGGCCCACCAAGGCUGCCAUCGGUAGGGGUUCUGAGAGGAAGGCCGCCCACAAUGGGACGGAGACACGGCCCAUAGUCCUACGGGAGGCAGCAGUGACGAAUAGUGGUGAAUGGGCGGAAGCCUGAACCAGCCGUGCCGCGUGCGGGAAGGGGGCCCUAUGGGCUGUGAACCGCUUUUGCCUGGGGGCAAUAAGGGCGUCGCGCACGUCCGAUGGGAGUACCAGGCGAAUAAGCAUCGGCUAACUCCGUG